UAGCCANGCANGUCUAAGUAUAAAUAGUAUACAGUGGAAACUGCGAAUGGCUCAUUAAAACAGUUAUAGUUUACUUGAUAAUUGAAUUCUACAUGGAUAACCGUGGUAAUUCUAGGGCUAAUACAUGCGGCAAAACCCAACUUUUCGGAAGGGUUGUAUUUAUUAGAUAACAAACCAAUAUUCCUUCGGGUCUAUUGUGAUGAUUCAUAGUAACUGAUCGGAGCGCGACUACGUUGCGCUAAAUCAUUCAAGUUUCUGCCCUAUCAGCUUUCGAUGGUAGUGUAUUGGACUACCAUGGCAGUCACGGGUAACGGGGAAUUAGGGUUCGAUUCCGGAGAGGGAGCCUGAGAAACGGCUACCACAUCUAAGGAAGGCAGCAGGCGCGUAAAUUACCCAAUCCUAAUUCAGGGAGGUAGUGACAAGAAAUAACAACCCGGGUCCUUACGGACUUUGGGAUUGCAAUGAGCACAAUUUAAAUCUCUUAGCAAGGAACAAUUGGAGGGCAAGUCUGGU
rnacentral:rRNA from 1 species